CAGAUUAUUAUUGGUCAAUCACUGCUCUCUCUCCUAAACUAAGAUGAAAUGGAUUUCUUUAAUAUUCAAGACUGUGAGCUAAGAUCAUCAGUGAAGACUCAGGAGUUCAAGCUUCCUGGAGUGGGUGAGUUUCCUCAUUUUCUCUCUCUGUUUCCUUUUCUAACUCAGAUUCUUCAGAUUUCCAGACAACGAUUUUCUCCAAAAAAGUUGCACCAAGCAAAAAAUUAUCUCAAUACACAUAAUGGCAAGUAAAUCUUUUGAAGAAAAAAUUGCAAAUGUUUUGGCAUACAUAAGGAGUAGCACAUAUCCUGAAGGAAUGAAUAAAGCAGGCAGACUGAACCUGCGUCGAUAUGCUGUCAACUUUUCAUUGGAAGAGGGGAGAUUGUUCCAUUCAGUAAAAGGAAGAAAGGUUGUUGUUGUACAUACCAUGAAAGAAGCCCUGCAAC